rnacentral:rRNA from 1 species
CGAAAAGACCANCUCAUUCGGAUUGCAGCCUGCAACUCGGCUGCAUGAAGCUGGAAUCGCUAGUAAUCGCAGAUCAGAAUGCUGCGGUGAAUACGUUCCCGGGUCUUGUACACACCGCCCGUCACACCAUGGGAGUUGGAAAUGCCCGAAGUCAGUGACCGAACCGAAAGGAAGGAGCUGCCGAAGGUGGAGCCGAUGACUGGGGUGAAGUCGUAACAAGGUACC